CCUACGGGAGGCAGCAGUGGGGAAUAUUGCACAAUGGGGGAGACCCUGAUGCAGCGACGCCGCGUGAGUGAAGAAGUAAUUCUUUAUGUAAAGCUCUAUCAACAGGGAAGAAAAUUGCGCUACCUGAGUGAUCCUCCCCGUCUAACUCCGUUCCAGCCGCGGCGGUAAUGCGUAGGGGGCAGGCGUUAUCCGGAUUUACUGGGUGUAAAGGGAGCGUAGACGGCAGUGCAAGUCGGGAGUGAAAGGCUGGGGCUCAACCCCAGGACUGCUCUGGAAACUGUAAGGCUGGAGUGCAGGAGAGGUAAGUGGAAUUCCUAGUGUAGCGGUGAAAUGCGUAGAUAUCAGGAGGAACACCAGUGGCGAAGGCGACUCACUGGACUGUAACUGACGUUGAGGCUCGAAAGCGUGGGGAGCAAACAGGAUUAGAUACCCGUGUAGUC
rnacentral:rRNA from 1 species